rnacentral:rRNA from 1 species
AGGACGAACGCUGGCGGCGUGCUUAACACAUGCAAGUCGAGCGGAAAGGCCCUUCGGGGUACUCGAGCGGCGAACGGGUGAGUAACACGUGAGUAAUCUGCCCCUAGCUCUGGGAUAGCUCCGGGAAAACCGGGAUUAAUACCGGAUACGACCACUUUAGACAUCUGUUGUGGUGGAAAGAAUUUUGGCUAGGGAUGAGCUCGCGGCCUAUCAGCUUGUUGGUGGGUAACGGCCUACCAAGGCGACGACGGGUAG